GCCUCUGUAGCUCAGUUGGUUAGAGCGCUGCAUCGGAAUCGCAGGACCGUGGGGUCAAUUCCUACCAGAGCA
rnacentral:tRNA from 1 species